rnacentral:rRNA from 1 species
AGCGAACGCUGGCGGCAGGCCUAACACAUGCAAGUCGAACGGACCCUUCGGGGUUAGUGGCGGACGGGUGAGUAGCACGUGGGAACGUGCCUUUAGGUUCGGAAUAGCUCCCGGAAACGGGUGGUAAUGCCGAAUGUGCCCUUCGGGGGAAAGAUUUAUCGCCUUUAGAGCGGCCCGCGUCUGAUUAGCUAGUUGGUGAGGUAAAGGCUCACCAAGGCGACGAUCAGUAGCUGGUCUGAGAGGAUGACCAGCCACAUUGGGACUGAGACACGGCCCAAACUCCUACGGGAGGCAGCAGUGGGGAAUCUUGCGCAAUGGGCGAAAGCCUGACGCAGCCAUGCCGCGUGAAUGAUGAAGGUCUUAGGAUUGUAAAAUUCUUUCACCGGGGACGAUAAUGACGGUACCCGGAGAAGAAGCCCCGGCUAACUUCGUGCCAGCCGCCGCGGUAAUAC